rnacentral:rRNA from 1 species
AUGGACGGUGAUGCAUGCUACUAUCUCCUAGCUCUUCUUCCACUUGUGUACACCAUCAUUCGCUUCUCCAGAGCGUUCUUUGGCUCCGGCAACCGCGGUCUACGGCUCCCUCCGGGCCCAUGGCAGCUUCCUGUCAUCGGCAGCCUCCACCACCUUUUCGGCGCCCUCCCACACCGUGCCUUACGGGACCUCUCCCGACGCCAUGGGCCUCUGAUGCUCCUCAAGUUCGGCAAGGUCCCAGUGAUCAUCGCCUCCAGCGCCGAGGCUGCCAAGGAGAUCAUGAAGACGCACGACCACGUCUUCUGCACCAGGCCGCUGAGCGCAUCUGCCAAGGUGUUGAACGAGCAUGGCCCCGGGAUCUCCUUUGCCCCGUACGGCGAGCACUUGCGGCAGCUACGCAAGAUUUGCAUCGUCGCGCUGCUGAACGCCAAGCGCAUCAACUCUUUCCGUCCCACCCGUGAGCAGGAGGUGAGCGUGCUCAUCCGCUCCAUCUCAUCCGCAUCAAAGUCGGAGCCACUUGUGAACCUGAGUAAGAUGCUCACCAUCCACGGGACGGACACAACGGUGCACUCAAUCAUGGGUACCCGGUUCAAGGACAGCGACGUUGGCACCUUGCUCGGUCAUGUGAAAGAGGCGGUGCGGCUGAUAGGUAGCCUCACCAUAUCCGACUUGUUCCCGUCGUCGUGGCUAGCACGCACUCUGAGCAGCACGCUGCACAGGGCUGCGGUCUGCCGGGACUCGUCGCUAUUGUUCCUGGAACGCGUCAUCUGUGAGCAUCUUGAGAGAAGGUCCUCCAUGGAUGUGCACCAGGAAAUCCUGAUCGAUGUCCUCUUGAGGAUCAAACGAGAAGGCAACCUUCAGUUCCCCCUCACCAUGGACAAUAUCAAAGCAGUGAUUUUCGAUGUUUUUGCAGGAGGGGUUGAGGCACCAGUAACAACGCUACUGUGGGCCAUGGCAGAGUUGAUGCAAAACCCUAGCGUGAUGUCUAGAGCACAAGCUGAGGUCAGGGGUGCCUUCAUGGGACAAAUGGAGGUAACCGAGGAGGGUCUAGGCCAGCUAAGCUACUUGCAUUGUGUCAUCAAGGAGACCAUGCGAUUGCACACACCUGGUCCAUUAUUAUUGCCAAGGGAAUGCCAAGAACAAUGCAAUAUACUUGGCUAUGAUGUUCCCAAAGGUGCUACUGUUCUUGUGAAUGCUUGGGCUAUCUCAAGGGACCCGGAAUACUGGGACGAACCAGAAGCAUUCGUGCCAGAUAGAUUUAUGGGUAGUAAGAUAGAUUACAAAGGCAACGACUUUGAGUUCACACCUUUCGGUGCCGGACGUCGGAUUUGCCCCGGGAUGCAUUUUGGGAUCGCGAAUAUUGAGCUAGCACUCGCAAGUCUCCUAUUUUAUUUUGACUGGGCUCUCCCAGAUGGCAUUCUUCCUGGUGAUCUUGACAUGACAGAAACCAUGGGAAUCACUGCUAGGAAGAAGGAGGAUCUGUGGUUGCGUGCAACUCUCCACGUACAGCUGCCCUGCUGA